rnacentral:misc_RNA from 1 species
GAUGAAGAACGCAGCGAAAUGCGAUAAGUAGUGUGAAUUGCAGAAUUCAGUGAAUCAUCGAAUCUUUGAACGCACAUUGCGCCCCUUGGUAUUCCAUGGGGCAUGCCUGUUCGAGCGUCAUCUACACCCUCAAGCUCUGCUUGGUGUUGGGCGUCUGUCCCGCCUUCGCGCGCGGACUCGCCCCAAAUUCAUUGGCAGCGGUCUUUUGCCUCCUCUCGCGCAGCACAUUGCGCUUCUCGAGGUGUUGCGGCCCGCGUCCCACGAAGCAUCGUUUACCGUCUUUGACCUCGGAUCAGGUAGGGAUACCCGCUGAACUUAAGCAUAUCAAUAAGCGGAGGA